AUGCCAUCUCUGGUAACAGCCUAUGUCGGGCUUAAGCGUGCAUGUCACGAUUGGUGUGAAGAUAUGCACCUGAAGGGUUGUGGUUUGUAUGACUGUGGUUGUCAUACUUAUCCCGUAGAGGGAGGUGUGCUUCUCAAUGGUCUGUCCAAUGCUGUCAAUUUGGAGUUGAUAGCUGUACGUCAAGUGUUUAUCUAUACAUGGGAUUUGGAAUGGUGCCCAAUAUUUUGCAACUUAAAGACUCUGUUACUCAAUGAAUGGUUCACAGCUAUUGACCUAGUUUGCAUUCUCCAACACUCUCCACUUCUUGAGAUGCUCACUCUUCAGCUUGGUGGUAUAAAGAACCUCACUAGAGCAAGAGGGGCCCAAAAAACAAUAGAACAAUCAUUCAUGUGUGCGCACCUCAAGGUUGUCAAUAUCGAAUGUGAUGAGGUUGAUGAGGACAUUCGCAAAAUUUUGAAGAUCUUAUGGACAUGUGGCAUACUCCGUGAUCACAUUAGCAUAAAGGCUCCAUCCUCACCCUCAUACUUUUUCAGUUUCCAGAAGGACCCGCUGCCACUGCUUCCUUUGUAG
rnacentral:rRNA from 1 species